rnacentral:rRNA from 1 species
AUUACUGAGUGCGGGCCCUCUGGGUCCAACCUCCCACCCGUGUCUAUCGUACCUUGUUGCUUCGGCGGGCCCGCCGUCAUGGCCGCCGGGGGGCACCCGCCCCCGGGCCCGUGCCCGCCGAAGACACCAUCGAACGCUGUCUGAAGAAUGCAGUCUGAGCGAUUAGCGAAAUUAGUUAAAACUUUCAACAACGGAUCUCUUGGUUCCGGCAUCGAUGAAGAACGCAGCGAAAUGCGAUAAGUAAUGUGAAUUGCAGAAUUCAGUGAAUCAUCGAGUCUUUGAACGCACAUUGCGCCCCCUGGUAUUCCGGGGGGCAUGCCUGUCCGAGCGUCAUUGCUGCCCUCAAGCACGGCUUGUGU